ACACCAUACUACCAAACCACCUAAACAAUUAAACUGGUCCACUUCUAGACAAAUGCCCCAGUAAGCCUAUUAUACAAAGAAUUUAGUUAGAGGCCCAAUUCAUGAAAUUAAAGUGGCCCAUUACAUAAAUGAAACUAAAGAAAAUGACAAGUAAAUAAAAGGGUAAAAAGUAUACUCCUUGUCACCACCAUCGUAUCUCUCUCAUAAAUCUCAAAAAGAACAGACAACCUCAACGGCACAACUCGUCUCUCUCUCAUCUCUAACUCCUCUCAAUUUUCAUCUCAAAUUCCCAAAUCAGAAACAGCAAGCUCAUCUCCCUUCCUAUCUACUAUCUUAAAAAAUUAAGGAAAACAUCCAUAGCUACUGUCACUGCCCCUUCGUCGCCGCUAAGCUCCAACCGGCUCAGCAUCCGUCCUCGGCGGCGCCGCUACCCACAACUGAUUUUGGAUGGAAGAAUGGGUGAGGAAGAGAUGGCUGCGUGAGUUAAAAAUAAGGAGAGGAAAAUCAGUUGGAGAUUUUGAGGGAAGAUGGAGAUAUGGCAAAACCGUGUGGGAGAAGUUGGGAGAAUUAUUUGACCAAAAAUUUGACUGCAGAAAAGAAUUUAUUUUAUUGGGCUUCCCAACAAAAAAAGGGGCUAGAACAAGAUUGAUAAAGUAAUAGGCCCAUAUAUUUAAGUCAGAACAUAGGUUAAAUUGUUGUGUCUUUAUUUUAGUACUUUGGUGUUAUUCCGAGGACUUGUCAACGACUGCCCAUUUUUCUAAUCAACGAAUCUCACGUCAAUCUCGUCGACUAUUUUCACCACA